GUUCAGUUUUGAAGGUAUUUUUAAUGUUUUGUAUCAAAGCAUUUUACUGACGAAGUUCUCAACCUUUUUGGUGUUGAGAUGAAAAAAUAACGACACGCCAUUAUGAUUACUUUAAUAUUUGGAGGACCAUAUCACAAGGUUAUAAAUUAAAACUACAUUAAAUGUGUGUCAUCAA